UACAUUUAACGAUACUAGUGGAGUAAUAAUCUGGCGGGGUCGGAUCUCUGACAAACACAUAGGAUUUAAUAACUGCACGGAUCGUAGACACGCAGCUCUACAUCAAGAUGAAAGGCGCACUUAAGGUCGUUCUUUUCCGGUUGUUCACUUUCGCUGGAGAUCUCACGAUCAGCAGCAUCAGAACCGCAGACUCUGGAGAAUAUAAACUAGAGAUCAGCAGCACAGAAGGACCCACAGAGAUCACAUUCCCUGUCAGUGAUGCAGAAGAUCCCGACUGCAGCUAAAGUUAACAGAGAUCCAACAACGGCAGCAGAGGUCAGCACUAUCUGAAGUGACGAGUCUGGAGGAGGGUUCUGGACUUCUGGAAGGAAAGAGAGACAUCAGUAUGCAGAAGAUCCCGACAGCAACAAGAAACAGCAGAGAUCCAGCAGCAGCAGAGAUCAGAGCUAUCAGAAAGACUGGAGAACCUACAGGAGAACCUGCAGGAGGAACCUACAGGAGGACCAGCAGGAGGAACUGAUGGAUGAAGGAGGAGUUGGAGGAGCUGGUUUUGAAACAGUCAUUA